CCCUUAGAUGUUCUGGGCUGCACGCGCGCUACACUGAUGCAUGCAACGAGUUUUCGACCUUGCCUGAAAAGGUUGGGUAAUCUGUUUAACAUGUGUCGUGAUGGGGAUAGACCAUUGCAAUUAUUGAUCUUCAACGAGGAAUUCCUAGUAAGCGCGAGUCAUCAGCUCGUGCUGAUUAUGUCCCUGCCCUUUGUACACACCGCCCGUCGCUACUACCGAUUGAACGUUUUAGUGAGGCAUUUGGACCGACGCAUCUCAGUUUAACCGCUGGUUUGUGUUGGAAAGACUUCCAAACUUGAGCGUUUAGAGGAAGUAAAAGUCGUAACA
rnacentral:rRNA from 1 species